UACUCUCAGUUUAUUGACUUAAUCAACUGUUUUGUAACUAAUGUUUUGUUGUAGGAAAUGGAGGAAAAAAAAGUCUUUGCUUCCAGUCUGAUCAACAAUUGCAAAAAAUCCAGCAGCUGGAAGCAGAACUAAAAACAGCCAGAGACUUCCUGAAGGAGAGCCAGAAUUACGCUGAAGAGAUGAAAAGUGAGAUACACAAGAAAUCCAUCAGCUGCAAGAAGAACUGAAAACAGCUAAACAGUUUCUGAAGGAGACCCAGAAUUAUGCGGAGGAGAUGAAAAAUAAGAGUUUGUCUCAGCAAAUAGUAUUAGAAAAGAAACAAGAUGAGAUUCGGGAUUUAGAGGGGAAAAAUCAAGAUUUAAUCCAGCAACUAAAGAAAAUGCAGUCAGACCUGCAAUUGAAAGAAGCUGAGAUUACCCAUCUCCCAAAUGAGCAACUGAGCAAGGAAACAGAAUUAUAAAGUCAACAAGCAGAGAUUCGGGAUUUAAAAGGCAAUAAUAAAUUGCAUGAGGAUUCAGUAAAGCAGCUACAACUUGUGCUUGACAAAUGGAAUUUUGAGAAAAAAGACAUGUCUACAAUGCUUUCCUUACAUGAAAAAGAAAUUGAGGACCUUACUGAAGAAAAUAGAACCCUUAAG